AACUUAACUUUUAUGCAGCAGUACCCUUGCCAGACAAAUGAGUUGUCUUUGCCCUGGACUCUAGUUUUGACCCUCCUCUGAACGCAGCAAUAUAUUCAUUUCUUCUACUUUUCAUAUUUUCUUCCAAGCACUGCAAAUGGGAAGCAAUUAUAGGAUUGCGUGGGAAACCAAGAAAGAGGGCAGGGUCAGCGAAAAGCAACUGAUGGCGAGAUCUUUUCUUUAAUUUCUGGUGGGAGCUCUGUUUUUGUAUUGGCAAGAGCACUUCUGUUAACAUUCAUCACCUUUAAUACUUAUCAUCAUCUCUUCAAUGUCCUAAUAACAUCGAUUCUUCAAGCUCCUAUGUCAUUUUUCGACACUACUUCAAGUUAAAUCCUUGUCGAGUCUUCUACAGACCAAGCUACUGUCGACUUUGAUGUAUCUUACAGAAUAGCUGGAUUAGUGUUUGCUCUUAUUCAGCUUGUCAGUGUCAUCGCCCUCAUGUCACAGGUGGCAUGAAUAGCCAGCAGUCUCACAUAAAUAUAUGUGCAGCACGAUAAUCUGUUUCUUCCUCAAAACAUGUAUGUAGUUACUAGGCGCUGAAUUUUUUCAAAGUUCUGUGCAGGCUUAUUGCAUUAAAACUGCCAGAGAACUGGCUAGGAUGGUUUGAAUUCAAAAGGCUCCACUUCUGCACCACUUCUCGGAAACAAUUGCUGGGUAGUGCCUAUCCGCUGCUUCAACAAGGAUGAAAAACUCUACACCAAAAACCUUGGCCUGGUUGAUGAUUUUUCACGCAUUAGUUUACACAAUUCCACGACAAUGGAAUGGUUCUGUGUUAGGAUAAACUUUCUAUUAAAUCUUGGCUUCUUCGUUGUUCUUAUGAUCUUAGUGACUCUGUCAGGCUCAGGCACUAACCGCAGCUUGGCAGGACUUGCUGUCACCUAUGGUCUGAAGAUUAAUAUUCUACAAGCUUGGGUUAUGUGGAAUGUGUGCAGUGUCGAGAACAAGAUGAUCUCGGUCGAGAGAAUAAUUCUGUUUAGUUGCAUACCAAGCGAGGCACCUUCUGCCCUUAAAGAUUGAAGUCCAGAACCGAAAUGGCCAGAGACUGGUUACAUGGAAAUUAAAAACCUCGAAGUGUGUUAUGUUGGGUCAUUUCAGAUAUUAAAGACAUAAAUUUACAUGGUUUGAUAAUAUAUCUACUUCACAGAAUUACUGAUUUAUAUUAAUUUAUC